rnacentral:rRNA from 1 species
GUUGUGAUCGAAUCGAUCGAGAGCAGUACAACCUCCCCCUUCCAAUGGGUGUAUUGGGGUAUUCAUUUACUUCAUUACUCCUUUGGUCGUUUACUGUGAGAAAAUUAAAGUGUUCAAAGCGGGCGUUUGUUUGAAUAGAUUAGCAUGGAAUAAUGAUUGAAGGCUUUCGUGUUCGAUUUGAUUGGUUUGUUCAUGGAAGCAAGGUUAAAAGGAACAGUUGGGGGUAUUCAUAUUCACUAGUUAGAGGUGAAAUUCUCGGAUUUAUGGAAGAUGAACAAGUGCGAAAGCAA